rnacentral:rRNA from 1 species
UACGUAGGGCGCAAGCGUUGUCCGGAAUUAUUGGGCGUAAAGAGCUCGUAGGCGGCUUGUCACGUCGGAUGUGAAAGCCCGAGGCUUAACCUCGGGUCUGCAUUCGAUACGGGCUAGCUAGAGUGUGGUAGGGGAGAUCGGAAUUCCUGGUGUAGCGGUGAAAUGCGCAGAUAUCAGGAGGAACACCGGUGGCGAAGGCGGAUCUCUGGGCCUGUCCUGACGCUGAGGCGCGAAAGCGUAGGGGAGCGAACAGG